AUUGAACGCUGGCGGCAGGCCUAACACAUGCAAGUCGAACGAGUGGCGGACGGGUGAGUAAUGUCUGGGAAACUGCCCGAUGGAGGGGGAUAACUACUGGAAACAGUAGCUAAUACCGCAUACCCUCGGAUGUGCCCAGAUUGGAUUAGCUAGUAGGUGGGGUAACGGCUCACCUAGGCGAAGAUCCCUAGCUGGUCUGAGAGGAUGACCAGCCACACUGGAACUGAGGAACGGCCCAGACGCCUACGUGAGGCAGCAGUGGGGAAUAUUGCACAAUGGGGGCAAGCCUGAUGCAGCCAUGCAGCGUGUAUGAAGAAGGCCUUCGGGUUGUAAAGUCAUUUCAGCGGGGAGGCGUUACUCGCAGAAGAAGGACCGGCUAACUCAGUGCCAGCAGCCGCGGUAAUAC
rnacentral:rRNA from 1 species